rnacentral:rRNA from 1 species
UGCAAGCGUUAUCCGGAUUCACUGGGUUUAAAGGGUGCGUAGGUGGGUUGGUAAGUCAGUGGUGAAAUCUCCAGGCUUAACUUGGAAACUGCCAUUGAUACUAUCAGUCUUGAAUACCGUGGAGAUGAGCGGAAUAUGUCAUGUAGCGGUGAAAUGCUUAGAUAUGACAUAGAACACCAAUUGCGAAGGCAGCUCGUUACACGAAUAUUGACACUGAUGCACGAAAGCGUAGGGAUCAAACAGG